CAGUUUCAGGGGCUGGAGGAAGGUGGGAAGAGGUGAAUGUUUUGUUUUUGAUAAUAUUUUGAGGGAGACAAUCUAAAGUCGCGGUUUGGUUUUCCCAGUCGCUGAAGCACCCCUCCUCUUUCCCGCUUAAGAACAGACUUCCCAAUUCCAGAAGCGAUUGUUUUCUUGGUCCUUUUGAAAGGUGCUUUGCAUGUAGUUUUCUGGCUACCUCGCUCCUCCUCUGGGACCCUGGCCUCAGUUGCGCCCCGCGCGGAGGACAAGGCACCCACCCAUCUCCCUCGGUCCUGACCGCGGGGACUCAAGCUUCUCUCCCUGCCCGAGCUCGGCGGUGUUUCCGGGCCUCCACCCCGCCCCUGCUCCAAGGCCCUGUCGCCUCCUCUCGUCCGACCGUCAGCGCGGCCUGCUUCCUGCGGCCCGCCUGAGCCGGUCUGGCUCCGGGCAGGAAGGAGGGCCCUAACCAGAGCGUGGGAUCCAGAGUAGGCCCACGCGGUCCAGCCCACGGUUCAGUACCAGCUCAACCUCCAGCCUGCAGAGCUGGGCUCCGGAUGGAUAGCGAAGAAAAAGAUCUGAUUUUCUAACUGCCUCCUUCCUCAUCCAACCCUGAAACUCCAAAAUGUGGAAGGAAGAUAGGUAGCAUUUUUCUUUUUUACGAUGCAAAGAGCGAAAGAUGCAUGUGUGCUUAUCAGGUCUUAUUUUCAUAUAUGUCUGGGUGUGCACAAGUGUGCACAGCGUCUGUGAAGUGUCAGAGGUGCUUUCUGAUAGUUGAGUGGGUGUGCGUUUGAUGUUGUUUGUGGUGGAAGAGAGCAUAUACAAUAUGUGUGGAUCCUGAGUAUGGCCCCGUAUUGCUCUUACAUACUGUGGAGGGGGAGGACCAGAAAAAUCAUUCUUCUUCUUCAUUCACCUGCACAGAGCACACGUGUCCACAGCUCUCUUUCUCCCUUUUCUCUCUGUCUGUGUUCAGCCCAUGUAACUGUACAUGUUUAUGGCCUGAGAAGGGUGCUGAUGGGAUAAGGGUCUUUUAUCCAUUAGCAUUAACUUGAAUUUACCCAGUCUUGGGGAUGGGGGAAACCCCCCAGAGAAGAGUGGGUAAAUAUUUAAAGAGUGUCUGUUGACAGUUCCCAUCCACAUCCUGGCCUGGGCAGCCUGCCUGGGGGAGUUGGGGCGGGGGCGCGGAUGCAGUGAAGCCAGGAGGCCCCUCCAGGCCAAACUGGCAUUUCCUAUGGGGUUAGGGUAUGUGGGGACAAGUAAGAGGCCUGCUUUAGACUCCUCCAACCCAGAUACAAGGGGUCUCCUAAGAAGCAACCUCCUGGAUCAGCCCAGCCAGAAGCCAGAGAACCACAGCUGCCCUCUCCUCUGUUCCCACCAGCGGCUUUGCUCUCAGAGCCUCCAGCAAGCUCGUGGCCAUUGCCUGGGCUUCCUGCCUGAGGCAUG
ensembl:lncRNA